GUGGGGAAUAUUGGACAAUGGGCGCAAGCCUGAUCCAGCCAUGCCGCGUGAGUGAUGAAGGCCUUAGGGUUGUAAAGCUCUUUCACCGGUGAAGAUAAUGACGGUAACCGGAGAAGAAGCCCCGGCUAACUUCGUGCCAGCAGCCGCGGUAAUACGAAGGGGGCUAGCGUUGUUCGGAAUUACUGGGCGUAAAGCGCACGUAGGCUGAUAUUUAAGUCAGGGGUGGAAUCCCGGGGCUCAACCCCGGAACUGCCUUUGAUAGUGGGUAUCUUGAGUAUGGAAGAGGUCAGUGGAAUUGCGAGUGUAGAGGUGAAAUUCGUAGAUAUUCGCAGGAACACCAGUGGCGAAGGCGGCUGACUGGUCCAUUACUGACGCUGAGGUGCGAAAGCGUGGGGAGCAAACAGGAUUAGAAACCCCUGUAGUCC
rnacentral:rRNA from 1 species